GACGUGUACGCCCGUUGAACGGGCCUUUUUCCACCAUCCAAACUCGAUGGUUCGGCACCGUCGUCGGCGUUACCCGCUUCUCCAUUCGCGUCUUGGGCUUUCCGAACUCGUCCGGAUCGAGCGAUUUCGAUCUUGCUUCCUUCUGGGUGAUUCGGCGGGAGCAGAGCGGAGCAAACCACCGUACAAGGAUGGCGACCCGGCUGCAGCAGCAGCUUCCGGGGGACGAGUCCGUGCUUCUCCGCCUCUCCCACUCCAACCUCAAGACCUUCUCUUCCGAUGUCCGCCUCUCGCUUCAGACGACGGUGGAGUCUGUGAAGGAGAAGCUCUGGAGGAAAUGCGGGACGUCUGUGGAUUCAAUGUGCCUCGAGCUCUAUGAUGACAGUGGGUCCAAAGUCUCCAACUUGGACGAUAACAACAGGCCGCUCGGUUUCUAUUCUCCACUUGAUGGGUAUCGGUUGCAUAUUAUAGACCUUGAUCCAUCAUCGGUCACCUCUGGUGGCUGGCUAGAAGAUACUUCACUGGUGGAAAAAUAUCAAAUUUCAGAAGAAGCUUAUGAUAAACGCGACGGAACUUUCAAAAAAUUUAAGGAAAAAAUUGCAUCCCAAAAUCCAUCAGCUUUUGAACCGAAGAUAACAGACAACCACAUGGAAGAUCUCUGCACGAAUGUCAAGGUAGGAGAUAGAUGUGAAGUUGAGCCAGGGGCUAAAAGAGGAGUAGUAAAAUUUGUGGGUAAAGCAAAAUCUCUAGCACCUGGUUUCUGGAUUGGAGUUCAAUAUGAUGAACCAUUGGGAAAGCAUGAUGGCACGGUAAAAGAGAUACGCUACUUCGAGUGUCCUCCACUUCAUGGUGCAAUGGUCAGACCAGACAAAGUAAAGGUUGGGGACUACCCUGAACGAGAUAUUUUUGAGGAAGAUGAGAUAUAAGCACCCAAAUUGAGUGGGUGCAUCUGUUUUCACAUGGUACUUUGCAGUUUGCACUAUCGUGUGGAGCACCUGCAAACAAGGGGUGAGCAGUAGAGGUCGACCUGUGUUGUACACUGGAAAGAAGUGGGAAAGUUGUCAUUUAUUACUGUCUAAGGCAAAAUUCGAAAAUAGGAGCUAUUGGGCAUUUUAAUUUGCUGUAUGAAUCACAAGCCGACUAUGUAAACUGUAGUUCCUAAUGUGCUGCAAAGAUGCCAUAUUUCUUGUAGCUUGAAAUAGCUUCAAGAUGCUUGUGUACCUCCUCCAUAUGGUUGAAUUCCCUUGAUCUAUCCUAUUUGGGGGCCUUAGAUCACAAUAAAAGUUUUAGCUAUUCUGGAA